CUACGGGGGGCUCCAGUGGGGAAUAUUGGACAAUGGGGGAAACCCUGAUCCAGCAAUGCCGCGUGUGUGAAGAAGGCCUGCGGGUUGUAAAGCACUUUCGGUUGGGAGGACUGCUUCUAGCACUAAUAUUGUUGGAAGUUGACGUUACCUUCAGAAGAAGCACCGGCUAACUCCGUGCCAGCAGCCGCGGUAAUACGGAGGGUGGCAAGCGUGAAUCGGAAUUACUGGGCGUAAAGCGCGCGUAGGCGGCUAGAUCAGUCGGGUGUGAAAGCCCCGGGCUUAACCUGGGAACUGCAUCCGAUACUGUCUAGCUUGAGUACAGGAGAGGAGAGUAGAAUUCCACAUGUAGCGGUGAAAUGCGUAGAUAUGUGGAGGAACACCAAUGGCGAAGGCAGCUCUCUGGCCUGAUACUGACGCUGAGGUGCGAAAGCGUGGGGAGCAAACAGGAUUAGAUACCCUAGUAGUC
rnacentral:rRNA from 1 species